GCAAACUUGGUCAUUUAGAGGAAGUAAAAGUCGUAACAAGGUUUCCGUAGGUGAACCUGCGGAAGGAUCAUUAUUGAAUAUGCUUGAUGGGUUUGUUGCUGGCCUCUAGGGGCAUGUGCACGAUCUGUCUUGACUAUUAUUCAUCCACCUGUGCACCUUUUGUAGUCAUUCUGGAGGGAGGGGUAAACCGGCGGUACUUAUCGCUUAUCUCUCUUGAAAGGGUGACUAUGUCUUUCAUCACAAACAUCUUUGAAUAAUCACAGAAUGUAGUCAAUGGGACUUUUGUGCCUAUAAAAUCUCAAUACAACUUUCAGCAACGGAUCUCUUGGCUCUCGCAUCGAUGAAGAACGCAGC
rnacentral:misc_RNA from 1 species